AGAAUAGAAGAAAGAAGAAGAAAAGAAAAAGAUAAAAAAGAAAAUAGAAAAGAUACCUCUUCUUCCCCCUCCGGCCUUCCGUACUCUUAUUCCCUCACUUCUUCGCUGUCUUCUCCCUCCU
rnacentral:ribozyme from 12 species